GCACUCAUACACUGUUGAGUUAGUGUGAAGCUAUUGCACGUCCUUUUCUUCUGAAUACAGUGGAAUGAUGGAGACUGUGUUCAAAUUAUGUAACGAUUAGUUAGAAUGUUGACUAUAUCUUGAUUAUGCUGAGGUAUAUUCCUUCUGUUCUCAUAUUCUUUAGUGCUUUCAUAGUGAACCAGUGUAACAUUUUGCCCCAGACAUUUUAUGGAUAUGUUGACAGGGUGGUAAGAGUAACAAGAAGAAUGAAUGCUUCUCUCCUAAAUGCUCCUCAGGUCAGUGUCUUGUCUACAUUUCUUAGAAAUUCCUCUUAUUAUUUAAGCCAUUUGAAACUUUAGUUCUCUACCUCUGGUAAUGUUACCAAAAGUGUUUGGCUUCUUUAAUUUAUCUUGUUCUUUGCCAAAGGUCAAAAUUAAGCCUUUAGAUCUUUCACUUCAAAUGGGACAAGCACAGACUUGUGCUGUUCUAUUUUCACUGGAUUUUAUACUAUGAGAACAUACAUUUCCAAGGAAUGAAGACCUGCAGUUCUGGUAGAGAAAGUAUUGUAGACGAUACUCAAAUAAUAUUUUAAUGACUAAUUUUUACACUGGUGCCCUUUUAUAUUUCCUGGGGAAAAGAGGUCUCAGGUGCUACAUAAGUUGCAUUUCAGGAAUAGUAAGGUUUCUAGAAACAUCUUUCUGAAUGUAGCUUUUCAAAUACAUGGUCACUGACAUCACGGAGCAAUAUAUGGAUGAGUAGAGUUUAUGAGGAAGUAGAAUUAGAAUAUAUUCACUGUCUUAAAUCCUAAUAGUAAAUAUUUCAACUCCAUAGAGGAACAGAUGAUGGAAGGAGUAUGUAGCUUUCUCUGACCGUAACAUUGAUGUGUUUGUGAGGACAUGCAGAUUGCAGUAUUCUGGCAUCUCUUUUUGGCCUUUUGUGUUACACAGUGAACAUGAGUGUGUUGACAAAUGAAAUUUGUUUGUCUCUAAGAGGCUGUGCAAUGUUCAGUGUGGU
rnacentral:lncRNA from 1 species